CCUACGGGUGGCAGCAGUAGGGAAUUUUCGUCAAUGGGCGCAAGCCUGAACGAGCAAUGCCGCGUGAACGAGGAAGGUCUUCGGAUCGUAAAGUUCUGUUGAAGGGGAAAAAGAGCGGAGAGAGGAAAUGCUUUCUGAUUGAUAUUACCCUUCGAGGAAGUCACGGCUAACUACGUGCCAGCAGCCGCGGUAAUACGUAGGUGGCGAGCGUUAUCCGGAAUGAUUGGGCGUAAAGGGUGCGUAGGCGGCCUGCUAAGUCUGGAGUGAAAGGUACGGGGUCAACCGGUACAGGGCCUGGAAACUGGAGGGUUAGAGAGGAGGAGAGGGCAGGAGAACUCCAUGGGUAGCGGUAAAAUGGGUAGAUAUAUGGAAGAACAUCAGUGGCGAAGGCGGCCGCCUGGCCUGUUAACUGACGCUGAGGCACGAAAGCGUGGGGAGCAAAUAGGAUUAGAUACCCGGGUAGUC
rnacentral:rRNA from 1 species